rnacentral:lncRNA from 1 species
AGACGCCCCAGCUCCGCCGAGAGGCCGCUUGCGCAGGCUCCUUCUUCUUCCGCAAGUGUAGGCAGAGCCCCCGGAGCCAUGGCCAGCCCUUCCCGCAGCUCCGAAGCCACUGGCAAGCCCCGAGGCAGGGAUGGCCGGCCCAGGAGGGAGGAGGACGACGUCCCUCCCGAAGAGAAGAGGCUGCGGCUCUUGCUGGAGGGGGGAAGCGCACAGCCCCAGGACGGCGAGGACGGGGAGGACGCGCCGCGGCCGGGCAGGGUGGAGACCGGCACCCAGACAGGUGGCGACGGCAGAGGAGCACAGUGGCUCACACCUGUAAUCCCAGCACUUUGGCAGGUCGAGGCUGGUGGAUCACCUAAGGUCAGGAGUUCGAGACCAGCCUGGCCAACAUGGCGGAACUGUCUCUACUGAAAAUACAGAAAUUAGCCAGGUGUGAUGGCACACACCUGUAAUCACAGCUGCUUGGGAGGCUGAGGCAGGAGAAUCAUUUGAACCUGGGAGACAGAGGUUGCAGUCAGCCGAGAUCGCACCAAUGCACUUCAGCCAGCCUGGGUGACAGAGUGAGACCCUGUUUCAAAAAUAAAUAAAUAAAUAAAAUAGAAUUCUGAAUUUUAUUUUUAAUAAUUAUUUUCUAAAAAGAAUGUCUUGUUUUCUGGAGCUGUUGAAUUUAUUGAAUUGACAAAAAUUAUGUACAAGAGGGUACAACAUGAUGAGAUUGAAGUAUGUAUACAUUACAAAAUGGCUAGAUCAAGCUAAAUAACAUAUCACCUCCCAGACUUAUUUUUUUAUGGUGAGAACACUUAAAAAAUCUACUCUCUUAGUGAUUUCCAAGUGUAUGAUAUGUUGUUAUUAACUAUAGGUACCAUGUUGUCCCAUGGAUAUCCUGAACUUAUUCUUCUUCUCUAAAAAUGACAUUCUGUGUCCUUUGGCAUCUGCCCACUUCCCCACCCUGGCAACCAUCAUUCUACUCUGCUUCUGUGAACUCAACUUUUUUCUUUUCUUUUUCAUUCUUUUUUUUUUUGAGACAAUCUCAUUCUAUUGCCCAGGCUGUAGUGCAGGGGUGUGAUCUUGGCUCACUGCAGCCUUGAAUUCCCAAGCUCAAUCAAUCCUCCCACCUCGGCCUCCUGAGUAUCUGGGAGUACAGGCAUGCACCACCAUGCUCCACUAAUUUUUGCAUUUUUUUGUAGAGAUGGGGUCUUGCUAUGUUAUGCAGGCUGGUCUCGAACUCCUGGGCUCAAGCAAUCUGCCGGCCUCAGCCUCUCAAAGUGCUGGGAUUACAGGCAUGAGCCACCAUGCCUGGCCGAGUUCAACUUUUUUAGAUUUCACAUAUAAGUGAGAUCAUGUGGUAUUUGUCGUUUUGUGCCUGGCUUAUUUCACUUAACAUAAUAUCCUCCAGGCUCAUCCAUGUUUUCUCAAAUGGCAGGAUUUACUUCUUUUUGAAGGCUGAAUAGUAUUCCAUUGUGUACGUACACUACAUUGUUGCUGGAAGUGUAAUGGAGGCCAGUUGGGGGAGGAGGGGGAAAAGAUUCACUCUAAGUAUAGAUGCUCCAGCACCCACCCAGGUUGUGUGCAAGGAAGUGCAGGAUGCUCCUGGUCUUGCAAACUGUGGUUUGUGGGACUCCAAAGCCCCUAUCCUUCCACAGUGCUUUCUGUCUUGUUAUCACAUUUCCUUGGAGGAGAGCCCAGCCUUGGUGGAGAGCCCUGCUCUGGCUUUGUCCCUCGGCAUGAGAUGGCAGAGGAUGGUGCUGCUGGGAGACCCUCACGUCUGCACACUGGGGGCUGCUUGCCUUCUCCAUUCCUCCUUCAAGUAUCUGAGCAGCUCCUGUGUGCCAGCUGCUGGUCUACAAGAUGGAUGGGUCCUUGGAGAUCACGCUGUAGCAGAGGAGGCAGGCUGUAGCCCACACGCCACAACCAGCCCCCUGCCUGUUCACACAAAUAAAGUUUUAU